UACGUAGGGGGCAAGCGUUGUCCGGAUUUAUUGGGCGUAAAGAGCGUGUAGGCGGCCAGACAGGUCAGCUGUGAAAACUCGAGGCUCAACCUCGAGACGUCGGUUGAAACCGUCUGGCUAGAGUCCGGAAGAGGAGAGUGGAAUUCCCGGUGUAGCGGUGAAAUGCGCAGAUAUCAGGAAGAACACCCGUGGCGAAGGCGGCUUUCUGGGACGGUACUGACGCUGAGACGCGAAAGCGUGGGGAGCGAACAGG
rnacentral:rRNA from 1 species